rnacentral:rRNA from 1 species
UAGCAAUACGUCAGCGGCAGACGGGUGAGUAACGCGUGGGAACGUACCUUUUGGUUCGGAACAACACAGGGAAACUUGUGCUAAUACCGGAUAAGCCCUUACGGGGAAAGAUUUAUCGCCGAAAGAUCGGCCCGCGUCUGAUUAGCUAGUUGGUGAGGUAACGGCUCACCAAGGCGACGAUCAGUAGCUGGUCUGAGAGGAUGAUCAGCCACAUUGGGACUGAGACACGGCCCAAACUCCUACGGGAGGCAGCAGUGGGGAAUAUUGGACAAUGGGCGCAAGCCUGAUCCAGCCAUGCCGCGUGAGUGAUGAAGGCCCUAGGGUUGUAAAGCUCUUUUGUGCGGGAAGAUAAUGACGGUACCGCAAGAAUAAGCCCCGGCUAACUUCGUGCCAGCAGCCGCGGUAAUACGAAGGGGGCUAGCGUUGCUCGGAAUCACUGGGCGUAAAGGGUGCGUAGGCGGGUCUUUAAGUCAGGGGUGAAAUCCUGGAGCUCAACUCCAGAACUGCCUUUGAUACUGAAGAUCUUGAGUUCGGGAGAGGUGAGUGGAACUGCGAGUGUAGAGGUGAAAUUCGUAGAUAUUCGCAAGAACACCAGUGGCGAAGGCGGCUCACUGGCCCGAUACUGACGCUGAG